CGGCUCAGUAACACGUGGACAACCUACCCUCAGGACGGGUAUAAACCCGGGAAACUGAGUAUAAUCCCCGAUAGUCCUCGACUGCUGGAAUGCAUUGAGGACUAAAGCUCCGGCGCCUGAGGAUGGGUCUGCGGCCUAUCAGGUAGUAGUGGGUCUAAUGUACCUACUAGCCUACGACGGGUACGGGUUGUGAGAGCAAGAGCCCGGAGAUGGAUUCUGAGACACGAAUCCAGGCCCUACGGGGUGCAGCAGGCGCGAAAACUUUACAAUGCCGGCAACGGCGAUAAGGGAACCUCGAGUGCCAGGUUACAAAUCUGGCUGUCGUGAUGCCUAAAAAGCAUUGCAUAGCAAGGGCCGGGCAAGACCGGUGCCAGCCGCCGCGGUAACACCGGCGGCUCGAGUGGUAACCGUUAUUAUUGGGUCUAAAGGGUCUGUAGCCGGCCGGAUAAGUCUCUUGGGAAAUCCAGCAGCUCAACUGUUGGGCCUUCAGGAGAUACUGUCUGGCUCGAGGCCGGGAGAGGUGAGAGGUACUUCAGGGGUAGGGGUGAAAUCUUGUAAUCCUUGAAGGACCACCAGUGGCGAAGGCGUCUCACCAGAACGGACCUGACGGCAAGGGACGAAAGCUAGGGGCACGAACCGGAUU
rnacentral:rRNA from 1 species